CUGUGCUCUGAUCUAGCUGAGAUUGCUCAGAAGGCUUCUCCAUUAGCUUGGCUGCAUAAAGUUUUGAAGCCCUUGGAGUCUCCUGCAGAUGUGUCUGCAGGGAGGACUUUUCCUGUUCCUUUGCUGAUUCGUACACAGAAGCCUGUCUCCCAUGGCAGGGGUGAGUAGUGUGCUCCUGCUGACCCCACAGGCUGAGCCCUGCUUUUGUGGGAUCCAUUCCUGGGAAACGGAACUACUUUCUCUUAAGGUCCUCUCAGGGGGAAGAGCAAAGGCAAAAAACAGAAGAAACCCCACGAGCCAAACAACAUCCUGAAACACAUAGUGACAGAACUGCACAAAGGCCAUGGGAUGGACAGAGAGGCUCUGUGGAAGGUGGCAUUUCCUGAAGGAAGGGAAGAGAUGCCAGGCACAGUCCCAGAAGCUAACCCAGUUGGUGAAAGUGAUCUGGCUUCCCAACCCACGUUCAGGAUUGAGUCUCUGGGAGAUGCUGAGGGUAGGUCAAGGCCUUUCCCCUGGGAGAGCUGCCGGCUCAAGGGCC